rnacentral:rRNA from 1 species
UAGGGAAUCUUCCACAAUGGGCGCAAGCCUGAUGGAGCAACACCGCGUGAGUGAAGAAGGGUUUCGGCUCGUAAAGCUCUGUUGUUAAAGAAGAACACGUAUGAGAUUAACUGUUCAUACGUUGACGGUAUUUAACCAGAAAGUCACGGCUAACUACGUGCCAGCAGCCGCGGUAAUACGUAGGUGGCAAGCGUUAUCCGGAUUUAUUGGGCGUAAAGAGAGUGCAGGCGGUUUUCUAAGUCUGAUGUGAAAGCCUUCGGCUUAACCGGACAAGUGCAUCGGAAACUGGAUAACUUGAGUGCAGAAGAGGGUAGUGGAACUCCAUGUGUAGCGGUGGAAUGCGUAGAUAUAUGGAAGAACACCAGUGGCGAAGGCGGCUACCUGGUCUGCAACUGACGCUGAGACUCGAAAGCAUGGGUAGCGAACAGGAUUAGAUACCCUGGUAGUCCAUGCCGUAUACGAUGAGUGCUAGGUGUUGGAGGGUUUCCGCCCUUCACUGCCGGAGCUAACGCAUUAAGCACUCCGCCUGGGGAGUACGACCGCAAGGUUG